GGCAACGGCUCCCGGGUCCCGCCGCGGCCCCGGCCGCUCGAGAAGCUCCGCAAGCUUUAGCUCUCGCUCCCCCGUCCGACCGCUCGGGCGCCCUGCAGCCUUGCCCGGCGCCACCGCGCGCCCGGACUCCUUCGCUGCGCUGUGCCUUCUUGUGGGGCGACCUGGAGGAACGCAGCGAACUUAGGAAUCUUUCCUAGGCGUUGUCAGGCACUUCUCCAGUCCACCCUGGUACCGGAGUUGCUACUCCAGGGCACAAAAGUGAUCUGUUUGGUGUCCAUCUCUUGAGAGUGCCGCGGACAGAGCUGGGAAGGGCAGGCGGGGAGCAUUCCUUGCCCCCCGACCCCCGUCCGCCGCCUCCCGCCAACCCUACAAGUUUACAAAAAAGCAGCUGAAGUUAUUCCAUCCAGUCUGGACUUUGGCUGCUAGGCAGAAAGACAAAGGCCGAAGCACCGAGAAGCAGAAAGGUGGUGCCUUUGGGAGGUGACUAGUUAAUGAACAAGAAAACGGGCCCUCAUCAGACUCAGAAUGUGCCAGUGCCUGGAUCUUGGACUUGUCAGCCUCCAGAACUGUAAGAAAGAAAUGUCUGUUGUUUUUAAGUCCUAUAGUCAAUGAUACUCUGUUAUAGCAGCCCCAAUAGACUAAGAUAACAGUAAUAGGAGUUUCUGUUGUGGGUCAGCAGCUGCAGCUCCAAUUUGACCUCUAGCCUGGGAACUUCCACUUGCUGCAGGUGCAGCCCUAAAAAACAAACAAACAAACAAACAAAAAUCCCGAAAAUGUAAUCCUUUAAUAUAUGUUGAGCAUUUAGAAUAGGACCUAACACAUAGGACAAGCUAGAGAAGUAUUUGCUAUUCUUACUGAAAGAAGUACUGGUUUUGAAGGGGCCAAGUUUAGAGAAAUGAUGAAGAAGCAAACGGAGUUGUGGGGAAAUGACUCGAUUUGGGAAGAAUAGUUAUAUCUGGCAAGGAGCAGAGAGCAUCAUUCCUCAAAUGGGAAAGCCAGGUGCCUGCUCCCAGCCAUGGGACUUCAAUCCUCAAAUCUAGAGUUUGUGAGGUUAUUAGUCCACAGUAAGCCAGCCCUGCUACCCAGCAGAUCCAUGCAGUGGCCAUGAUGACUCUUCAUAUUCUGAUCUAAUGAUGCUGAUGGUGAAUGAUGCUGAUCUAAUGAUGUUCAGCAGUGAAUCAGGCACAGGGCUCCUAUGAGGGACUCUCCACGACAUUCUAACUGUGAAACUUCUGUUUAUACAUGCACAACUUGUUAACUCUCUGCAUUAUCAACUUUGCUAGAUAAAAAUAUUACACAUUGGUUUUCCUCAUAUCGGAAUGUCCUGGGUCACAUAACAUGCUAGCGGUCAAGUGUCAUAUCAUAGUUCACUGCCCUGGUGGUUUCCUAGGUCUCUAAGCUCUUUUCCCUUUCAGCUGAUUUCCAUGCUAUCCCUAGAGCUAACUUAUUAUUUAUCUAUUUUUUUUUUUGUCUUUUUGCUAUUUCUUGGGCCGCUCCCUUGGCAUAUGGAGGUUCCCAGGCUAGGGAUCUAAUUGGAGCUGUAGCUACCAGCCUACGCCAGAGCCACAGCAACGCUGGAUCCGAGCCUCGUCUGCAACCUACACCACAGCUCAUGGCAACGCCAGAUCGUUAACCCACUGAGCAAGGGAAGGGACCGAACCCGCAACCUCAUGGUUCCUAGUCGGAUUCGUUAACCACUGCGCCAUGACGGGAACUCCCCUAGAGCUAACUUAAAUCACUCCAUGCCUAAAACUUUAUACAGUAUCUGUGUCCCCAUUAUCAGUGGAAGAAACUGUCAAGCCGUCUGCAUGUAUAAAAGGCUCUUCCUUUCUGUGGCUGGGUCUGCCUCCCCAGCCUUAUUUUGACUGACUACCUUCUGACACUCUAGACUCUGGCAGUAGAUAGUAGAAGUAGUAGUGCUUUCUUAUAGUUGCCCAAAUGCUCCAUGCUGAUUAAUACAUGCCCUUGAAGAUGUGGUCCUCUCGGCUUGGAAUGCCUCUCUUCCUUUCCCUUCCAUGAAGUGCUGCCUCCUUCAAAGACUGCUCCUUUCCCUGUGUUACCAUCAUACAUGGCUACACACCCCUUUUAAUUGUGCCAACUGCACUGUUAUUUAUUAUGUGUUUCUGUGUUGCUUUUUCCUACUAGCCUGCAAAUAGCUGUGGCCACUGAAAGUGUAUUUUAUUCACCUUUGUUUCUUCAGCUCCUGUGACCAUGCCUGGCAACAUGGAACUUGCUCAUUUAAUGGUGAAUUGAAUAAUCAAUGGUCUGAGUCAUCCUCUUACUCUAGUAUUUCAUAGGACACUGAAUUUCUGGCUUGUAGAUGAUUAAUAUCCAUCAAGUCUAGAAAUUGUCAAGAUUUUUUUUAAGGUUCUGAUUCCAUGCAGUAAUUGUUACUAUUUGAUUGGGCCCCAAUGCUUUUCGUUCAUCUGAAUGAAUAAAUUUAAAUUUAUUGAAAUUGGGAGUUCCCUUUGUGGUUCAGUGGUUAACAAACCCAACUAAGAUCCAUGAGGUUGCAGAUUCGAUCCCUGGCCUCGAUCAGUGGGUUAGGAUCCAUCGUUGCCAUGAGCUGUGGUGUAGGUCGCAAAUGUGGCUCAAAUCCCAUGUUGCUGUGGCUGUGGCUAGGCCAACAGCUGUAGCUCUGAUCGGACCUGAUUCCACCCCUAUGCUACAGGUGUGGCCCUAAAAAGCAAAACAUAAAAAAAA
rnacentral:lncRNA from 1 species